CUCAGCACAAUAUGAAAUGGCACAAUGUAUGUCAUACUUGGACAAGGAUAGUUUUAGUAACUUAGCUUGUGUUGUAACAUCAGUGUUAGCUGCCCAAUGAUUUUGACACUGGGGAGGAUUUUAAGAUGAAUCUCCCAUCUCUGUUGGUUAUCCAAACUGCUUGAUUACUCCUUCUAACUCAUCAAGAAUUUUGGGGGGGAAAUUGACUCUUUCAACAGGACCUGUUAAUAACCUGUUAAACCUGGAGUACUAGAGGUUAACAUUUAAAUACCUAAUCUGAAUCAAACAAAAUGCUUUUAUAACUGGAUCACCCACAUCUCAGGUGAGAGCUCUGGUUACAGAAUUAUUCUGGUCUUCAGAAAAUGAUACUGGAAAAGGAAAAAUAGCACCUUGAAAAAUUUCAGUUUUGUCACAGGACUAAGAUAUUUUCUUAAGUAUUGAAUUAUUUUGCAUGGGUGGGUGAACUGUUUCCCACUGAUAUUUAAACUCCCAAGUAUCAGUACUGAAGUACGCAUUAGACAACAACUUCAUUACAGAGGACAGAAAUUUUGUAAUAUUCAAGGAGUAAGAAGGGAAGAACUCAUUUAAGUGAUCUUUUAAAUAUUUUUUUCCCCAGGAAAGUACUCUGCAAAAGACAAGGCCCAUCUAUGUAAUUCUGUGUGAAUGGAUUCUAUAGGUAUCUAUCAGUCUGGAUGGAGAAAAAUAGUUGCCAGGCCAAAGAGAGGAAAUGCAAGUGCUAAGAAGCUAGUAUGCAACAGUUCACCAAGGACAGACAAGCUCUGGAGACUAGCAGAUCUGUUAACUCUGCAAGGACUGAUAUACUCAGAGUUUAUCAUGCGGAGAACAUGCAGAGUCUGCCUAACCCACACAAGACCACUGGCAUGCCUGAAUGUGAGCAAUGGGCUGUGCGACUCAGACCACAUCCAAGAGGUGGCUGCUGUAUACAGACAGAGACUGCAGGGUUACAUACAUACCUGAGGAAACAGAAGACCCUCUGAGGAACUUUGUGAACACCAACUGAGGAUCUGCUAGUGCAUCAGUAUGAUCUUCCACUUGUGAGUGCAUGGUGGAGCUCCCAUCUGUUUUUCCAGCCAGGGGACAUACAGGCAAUUCGUAAGCACUGAGGAAGACUGAAAGAACAUAAAUACAAUCUUGAGGAACGAAUUAUAGUCUCAGAAUCUAUGCUGUCUCUGCAUAUGAAUCCUCCAUCUGAAGGUGAAAGAUUCAGGCUGGCGAGUUGUGAGCAUGAUUACAGAUUGCCUAUGAACUGUGAGCAGUCACUACACUUUUCUUCAAACCUUCAGAUCACAGUUGUUGAGAAGGCUGCAUUUCCAUCCACCUAGUCUAACACAUUGUUCUAGUUAAACUAAAUACAUUUGUGAAGUUGUCUUACAAUUGAAGGAUUUUCUCAUUUUUUCUUUUAUUUUUUGUGAAAGGUGUUUCUUUUUGUGAAAGAGUUUUUGUGUCAUAUGAGGUAUGAGUAGAUGAAUGAAUUUGUUAGAAAUAUAGCGCAGAAGAGUCUCAUGGAUAGAAUUCAACUGCAGCACACUUCAGAUGCCUCAGAGUUAAUCAUGUGAAUGUGAGCUUGUUGAUUGAGACUCGCUCUAUAGGCAAAGAAAUAAUGUUUUGGGGGAGAUUAUCUUGGUUUAUUUUAGGCACGUCAUAAAAAGACAGGGAUUACUCUCUAAAGGUGUGCGGGAUUAGACGAGAGCUUAACGCAGAUGGCUUAGCUGUAGUUAUCUUUCAGAUCCCACCUUUCCUGUGCUCUCCCUCUUUUAUCAGCAGCCUUUCCAUUAUAUAAUUUGUUGUAUAAUUCUUUGAAAAACAAUCAAGUAGUUCUUAGUUCAAGAGUCAAUGAUUAAAUAUCCACCUAUAUUCAUAAGGCCAGUCAGAAAAAAUUGCACUAAUAAUCCUUCAAGCAGAGUAUGUGCAAUUUUAGACUCCGAGAAGGAGAUAAAAGGAACUGGUGAUAGACAGAAAAAUUAAGAAGGCAGAUAUUCAUUUAUUUUCAUUGUAAAUUUUUUUUGUAAAUUAUUCUGGAAUAAAACAGUGAUUCAUUCCUUUAAAGUACUAGAUUUUAAACAAGUGGAUGAGACACAUGACUGUAAUUUGCCCAAGCUCAGGAAGUUUUUUUAAUAUUUUAUAAUUUCUUUUUUGUUGUAAACAAAAAUUUACAAUUUUUGAAUUUACAAUUAAAAUGAAAGGAAACAAUAAAGCAAGCCUACCCUAGAAAAGAAAUGGAAUGAAGUGGCUUGGUCUGAAGUUUUUCAGAUGAUUAAAAAGCUUUGGGAGAGCUCCGCGCAUUUCGUACGCUUCUAGACAGUACUGUAAUUUGAUUUCCUUCAUUGUGUUUGAAUGAUCAAUAUUUAGAAAAAGAAUACAAAAGGCAAUACUUGGUAGAUGAACAUGGACAUACUUCCGUUACAGCACGGAUACAAUGUCCUUCACUGGUCUUUGUUUCCCCGCCACUAGCUUGUGCAAUAUGCAUGUUUCCUUGACAGAGAGGUAUUUGUAACCACAUAGCUGUAUAGCUUCUCAUUCCCACCUGGGAGAGGGCAGAUCUGCACUGGUAUUCGUGAUAUUAACACUUACAUUCAUUCUCUGGAGUGAAGAAUACCAGCCAGACACUUGUGUGCUACUUCUAUUGCAUUGUUUCCAGGCCCAUGCUCAAUUUAUCCACAAAACCGCACAGGAAUAGUCUAGUAAGACCUCAGUGGUUUCAUCUCAUCCCAUCUACAACUGCUAUUGCAUUUCACUGAAUAAGUCUCUAAGUAAAACACAACAUACAUACUAUGGGAUGCAAAACCAAAGCCUUCUGCAAGGAAAGUAAAAAAUAUUUGAUUAUAUUUUACCACAGAUUAUUUUUUGUUCAUAUCUCACCACCUACAGGGCCAGAAAAAUUACUCUGGAAAUACUUCUUUUUUUAGCAUGCUUAGAUUUUCCCAGCUGUGUAUGUUAUGAGAAGUCAUUUCUAAAUGUACUGAAACUAGUAUGCAGCUUGUGGGCAACUGAUUCUUUAUUUAAGAGUGUUAACAUGUCUGUCACUGUGCUUAUGGCUUUUUUGUCUUUUAAAAGAGAAGAAAUAGAUCUGCUCCACCUGAAAAUUGAUUUUUUUUUUUUAUUUUCUCCUUGUCAGGAAAUGAUGAUUCACUGAUGCUGCAGGUUUUUAUUUUUAGGCAGAGGUACUUAAAACAAGGUUUGGGAAGAGGGCAGGGAGGGAAAAGACAAGAGAGAUAGGAUUUAUUUUUCUUAUUUUGUAUUUGUUUAUCAUGCUGGACACACAUGUAGUUUUAAUAUGUUUAAAUUUGUAGGUUAUUUACUUUGAGGUAUAAUUUUGAAUUCAAGAAUACACAUAUGCAUAUACAUUAUAAAUGAUAUUCUGCUAGUCAUUAGUGUAAACUAUGACCAGAGCAUGAGUUUUGAACCUCUAAUUAAAGAUAUUUUAUUCCCCAAGCAUAUUUCUAUAUUCUUUCAGUGUGGACUAACAGAAUAAACACAGCUUUGCAGAGUUGUGUAAAUAUCUCUAUUCCAUUAUAGUUGGAUGAUGUAGUUCAGAUAAAUAACUAAUGAAAAUGAAACAAACAAGAGCCAUGUAAAAAAUAUUUUAAUUAAGAAACGAAUGUGUCUGAAUAAGCAUUGUUAUGGAUUUGAGUACGUUGUACUGAUACAUUCUAAAUGUUAUGAUAUUAUGAUUUUGUUAACAGACCAACUACUUCAAUAUUUUCAUAUUUUUAAAGCAUCAGUAGUUUUAACCCAACAAAUGGCUAGACGUUCUAGCAGUGAACAAAAGAAAGAGUAAAUUAAGAUAGAGUAUUUUGCAACUCACAUGUUGCUCAGGGUCAUGAGAUCUGUUGCCUACCAUAUGGGAAGGAAAGGGCUCAUCCCCUGUUACUUUUGUGGCCUGUUCCCUGCUGCUUCUGUUUUCUACUUUAGGGGAACCAAAUAUCCUGCUAGCAUUUUGUCUUGUUAAUAUUCCACAACAGCACAUUUGCUGGUCCACAUAAACCUACCUAAUAGGUCAAACUUCAGGGGAUUCAUCUUUCUGUACAGUGUGCAGAGGUAUUAUCCCUCAUUGACACAGUAUGGGUUUCUUGCGCAAUAUUGCUGUUUUUAUAAAUGUAAAGAGAGAUAUGUACACUUUAGGUCUUGUUAUAUUUUCUGGGUCUGAUUUACAGAAAAACAGCUAAAUAACCACAAUAAUAAAUCUAUCUAAUGCAAAAGCAUGUUUGAAAUCACAGUAUGUGGUUUGUUGUACAGUAAACUUUACCAAAAAGAGCUUUCUAAAUGUCAGCUUUCAUUGAAAUACUGUGAAGAAAUCCUUUGGGAGCUGUAAAAAAUGUUGCAUUAUAAAUAAAUGUACAGGAAAGUACUUAUAAAUAAUUUUAAAAUUAUGACCACUGCCAAACUGGUAGCGUGCUUGCAACUCUCUUGAGAACUGUGUUUUGGACAGUUGAGCUCUAACUUAAUCAAAGAUUUAACUGAAAUUUUUUCCUAUAUGGAAGAUUCACUGCUACUUCCAGCUCUUCAGAAAGCUGUUCACGGUUGUUGUUUUUGUUGGUUUUUUUUUUCAGUUUUGUUUUGUUCUAAGUUUAAAGAACACUUAAAAGUUUGGUUUGGAUAAAACUAAGCAACCAUCACAGAGCGCCUUAGGUCAUCCAGGCCAGUUUCAUCAGGGACAGUCUCUUGUUCAUUUUGUACCAUCAGAAGUGAUCACACAAGCCUCCAAAAGUAUGAGGAUGCUUCCUGCUUUAUCAGGGCUAAAAUCAGGCAUUAUAACAUCAGGUCCAGCCACCGUUCUGUUUAACAGAAAGCUCCCAGCUACAGGCCCUUUAUCAGCAUUCAUUUCUGAAUGUAUUUUCUAUUCAAAUACAUUUUUCAAUGAGAGAAUUCUUCUCUCAGCUGCUCGGAAGUUUGGCCAAUAUGGUAUGCAUACAGGUAUACGUGUGUAUAUAAAUUAACUAUAUGCAAGCUUAGCUAGGCUUUCUGGAAUUUUGGCCUGUUCUGCCUUAAGUGUUGCUGUUGGGAACAAUUGCUGAGCCUCCUUACAUUAGUGAGAAGGGUGAUCCAAGAGGAACAGCUUCGUAGAACAAAACAGAUGGUACUGAGGACCUGAUAUUCACCCUAUAUGCAUUUUGAAGGAUUUCACUUCAGACUUGCUCUAGUUUAGUCCCAGGGAUGGAUUACCAAUUAUCAGUUUAAGCACUUUAAAGGUGAUCCUGGAGCUCUUUUUCUCACUUUAUUUUCAUCUGGAAGGCAUCCAGUUCAUGAACUUCAAAACAGUUUGGUGGUUUGAAACAAAGAUUGUUACUCAGAAACAAUUAGUAUACUCAUUUUGAAAGUGUCAUACUGAUUGAAACUAAAAUGCUAAUAUAGAGGAAACCAGAGAGACACCCGUACCCCAGUUUUCUUAAGCCUUUAAUGUUAAGUUGUUUGAAGUUAUAUUAAAGGCUCAGCUGUAGCUUCCUUACACGAGAUCUCACUACUUGCUAGCUUGGCGCACUACUCAGACGGGACAUAGGUGGGACCACUGUAUGAAUUCUGAGUCUGCAUCUGUGUUUAUAAUCAGUUAGAUUCACAGAAAUGUUAAAUUUACUUGAACAAGGAUAAAUAUAUUCAAGUAAAUAUCAAUGUAUAUUGUAAUAGAGCUGUAAUUUUAACAAUGAAUAGAAAACCAUAUUGAAUUAAUUUGCAUCACAAAUGUGUGGAAUAAGUAAAGGAAUAAAAUAAUAAAAUCUACAACAGAGAUGAACAGAAUAACUAAGUAGUCUGGUAAAAUAAAAAAUCUAUAAAGGACAAGUAGAUAGUAUUCCUGAUUUUAUUCUUGAUAUAGUCUGCAUGGAGUGCUAGUUUUAGCUGGACUGAUUUAUAGUAUGGCCUAUCAUAUGAUCAAAUGAGUGAAAACCUUGGUUAACUGAAAUCUAUGACUAAAAAGAAAACUAUAAGUGAAGCAACAUCAAUGAGGAGAGUAGACUUCGGCCUGUUUAGGGACUGACUUGGAAGAUUCCUAUUAGAGACAGUUCUGAAGAGAAUUCCAGAAGAACUAGUUAAUUUACACUGAUUGCCUCUUGCAAGCUUCAGUGAUCCAUCACAAUGAACAGGAAAUCAAGAAAAGCAGGAGACCUGCAUGGUUGAACAAGGUGCUUCUAACUAACCUGCAAACUGAAAAGGAGGUAGAAAAGAGCAGAGAGCAGAUACAAGUGACCCGGGAGGAAUACAGAGACACUAUGGGAUGUGCAUGUAGGGAUGGGGUUAGGCUAGUAAAAGCGCACCUGGAGUUGAAUCUGGCAAUAUGAAAGACUAAAAGAAGAGCUUCUACAGGUAUCUCAGCAGCAAAAGGAAGACUAGGGAAAACGUGGGCCCACUGCUAAAUGGGGCAGGACCCCUCGUGACAAAGGACAUGGGGAAGGCCAAGGUACUCUAUGCCUUCUUUGCUUCAGUAAUGUGGACUUGCUAAAAGAUUUAAGAGAUGACAGGAGUAAUUCAAAGAAGGCUUGUGAACAGAAGAUAAAUGAAUACACUGACACUUUACUGGCUAAUUCUGCAAUAAUGUAAAAACAUCUCCAAACACUCCUGCUCCAUACCUCUACAUACUUUAACAGUAUAUUAAAGCAUCUUUCCUCCAGAGCAUAUCUUCACUUCUACUAGGAAAGGCAGUUUGUAAAAACGGAGCAGAGACAGCAAAGCAGCAAUAGGAAGAAACCAGACUAACUAACACUGCCUCCUUUUCUGAAUUUCUUUAUGUUCCUAGAAACUAGCCCAUCUGAUAGAGCUGUUCUGUCUUGCAACAAAUGUCUUCCAAGCCCCAAAGUAAUUUUAUAUUGAUGUAAUAUUAUUUUUUCACUUUUGUUUCUUACGUCUUCCUAGCCACGUGAUGAUUCUCCUCCGCUUCUUUUCCCCUUGCCCAGUAGGUUUUGUGAUGAGAGAAAUACCUCAAAGCUGUGGAAUCUGUUAGCUGUCUGCACUGUCGUAUAUCAAAAUCUUACCGAUCAGCUUGGUAUAUCAUGUACCUCUUCCGCUACAACUGAUGUUCUUAUAAACCUCUUAAAAGCACACGUUCCUAUGCCUAAUGUCUUUCCCUCAGUUGUCCCUACUUGUUGACUCCACACUCCUUUUCCUCCUCAUAUUCGUAAUGUUCUCAUCUGUUCCGUAGUGCCUAUCUUUUUUUUUUAUUGUAUUAUUCCUCUAUGACAGAUAAAAAUUUAACUGAAAAAAAAUUAUGUGAAUUACCAUUAAAGCUGCGGAUUUCAUAGCUUAUUUCCUUCCUUCCCCGUCCUUAUCCUCUGCUGAUUCUUUCUUUUGUUUUGCUUUCUGUCAUAUUAUUAUAGUUAUAUGUAAUGAAACUUUUUGGGGCAGGGAUUAUGGCUAAUUUUUCUGUUUGUAUAAUAUCUUAGAGUACUGACAGAUUAAAUAACAAUAUCUAGGGUAGGCAAGGUAGCUUAAGAGAGGAAAAUAAAUUUCAGGAAAAUAUGAUUGCCUUCAUAGAGCAUUUGCUCAGAAAGAGAACUGCUUUUGUUUUAUCACCAAAGUAUAAUGAUAGAUCUCCCACUAACUUUAAUAUAUGAAGGUCACAGAGUAGAAUUUAUUUUAGAGUUUAAAGUUCUUGAGAUGUGUUCUCCCUAACCCCUUCCAUAAAAAUCCCCUUUUUCAUUUUGAAGAGCUGCAAUGGAUUUGAUUUUAAUUUUAAGCAUAAAUUGAAAUGGUAGAAGAAGUGUUUUUGCAGCGAUUUUGAAAAAGAAGACUUUUUAAUACCUCAGCAGAAUGACCUGCACUUCAUUGGGUCCUAAUCUUUGUUCUGCCUAUCUUA